rnacentral:rRNA from 1 species
GACGAACGCUGGCGGCGUGCUUAACACAUGCAAGUCGAACGAAGAGCGAUGGAAGCUUGCUUCUAUCAAUCUUAGUGGCGAACGGGUGAGUAACGCGUAAUCAACCUGCCCUUCAGAGGGGGACAACAGUUGGAAACGACUGCUAAUACCGCAUACGAUCUAAUCUCGGCAUCGAGGAUAGAUGAAAGGUGGCCUCUACAUGUAAGCUAUCACUGAAGGAGGGGAUUGCGUCUGAUUAGCUAGUUGGAGGGGUAACGGCCCACCAAGGCGAUGAUCAGUAGCCGGUCUGAGAGGAUGAACGGCCACAUUGGGACUGAGACACGGCCCAGACUCCUACGGGAGGCAGCAGUGGGGAAUCUUCCGCAAUGGACGAAAGUCUGACGGAGCAACGCCGCGUGAGUGAUGACGGCCUUCGGGUUGUAAAGCUCUGUUAAUCGGGACGAAAGGCCUUCUUGCGAAUAGUGAGAAGGAUUGACGGUACCGGAAUAGAAAGCCACG